rnacentral:lncRNA from 1 species
CUGCAGUCAAGAGCAACCUCGGCAGCUUCACUACCUACAAACCCAGGUUUGUGCUUGGACGUCAGAUAAAACCUCCACAGAAAUCUGGGACCUGAUCCUCAAAGGAACCUUGCUGUCCAAAUACAGUUGCAAGCAUGAUGACAAUGGAGUGUAGCUAACCUAAUGCAGAAGGAGAGAAGAUUAGGGGAAGAGAAAAGAAAGCUGAAACCUCUAUAAUGAAAUUUUAAAAUCACAGAGCUCCUGCUGUUAAUAUUUUCCCAGCCUCCAAAAGCAUCAAAUAUUGUUUUAUCCCACAACUAAUCUCAACCGUGUAUCUAUCUCACAAUAUUUGGACACGUUAACUGGGAGCUGAGUCCUAAGAUAACAGCCAUGGCAGCCAAGUGUGGUGGCCUCAUCACCAGACCCUACAUAGUUAAUUGGUCACUUUGUCCAGCUGAGCAAUGGGGUUCCAGUCCAUCCCCAUCAUUAAAAGCUGCCAAAGUCUGUACCACUUUGAAUCAGCUGCCUUCCUCCUGUUCCGUGUGGCUUUUAAGCACCUGCACACCCAGCAUUCUUGCCUCCGACGGAAAGCUUCUGGUUCUUUGAUGAGGGCUUUGGAUAAUUUAAUCAACUUUCCUUCGUCCUCUCCAUAAGAAAGAAGUGCUCAGCUCACUUUGGGGGAAGAGCCACAGAGCAGCACACACUCCUUCCUGUUCUUAAUAAGCCUCCCAAAUGCGUCAGCUAGACAGGGUGUUUAUCUCAAUUAAUGCAUUAAUAGCUUCACCAAAUUGCCAGGAAAAUCUGACACAGACUCGCGUGAGCAGGAUUCCAGUUAAGAAAGAAGCUGGCAGAGCAGCCGCUGAUGUGAAAUCUGAACCAUCUUUUGAACAGCGGACUAUUAGUUUUGUUUUAUUUGGUUCAUUUGAGUUUUUUUGUUGAUUACACACACUCACAGGCCCAUGCAUACAGCCAUUGUGGCAAAAAAGACUUGAAAGAUUGUUGGAACUGAGGGAAGGUAAGAGCAGCGGAAAAAUAAGACAGAGAGACCAAGGUCAGGCUCCACUGGCAGGGGAGGCUGGCCACCUGGUCCAGCCCUGUCCCACCCCUCAGUGACAGCAGCACCUGGCAGGGGCAGCUGCGGGCGUCCGACCAUGUACCACGGAGGGGUAAAGACAGCGCUCUGGCCAGAGGGG